rnacentral:rRNA from 1 species
AUGAGUUUUACCUUACCUUAUUUCAUUGGAUUCAUGCAGAAUGAAGUGGCCAUGCUUAUGUCGAAAGCUAAUCCACAGGAUGCUGCCAAUCUUCAUAAUCUUCAGAUUUUCGCCAAGCGAAAGGCCUCUGAAGAAUCAAGGAAGGAUGCAAAAUCACUAACUCAAACAUACACAAGCAAUACUUCGUUAGUGGCGAUCCUCAUUGCGACAAUCACCUUCGCCGCUGCCUUCACCCUGCCUGGAGGAUACAGCAACGAUGAUGGAAGCGAGGGAUUUCCAAUCAUGUCUAAGAAGUUUGCUUUUCAGGCAUUCUUGAUCUCUGAUGUCUUGGCAAUGUGCUCCUCUUUUGCCGUAGCCUUCAUAUGCAUCAUAGGAAGGUGGGGGGAUUAUGAGUUCUUGGUUUAUUACAGAUCCUUCACUAAGAAGCUCAUGUGGUUUGCAUACAUUGCAACAACUACAGUUUUUUCAACUGGUUUAUACACUGUGUUGGCUCCACGUCUUCACUGGUUGGCUAUUGCAAUUUGCGUCAUGGUAGCUUUGUUGCCCAUUCUCACUAAGCUGCUGGGCGAAUGGCCGGUGUUGAAGCUCAGAUUUCGGCUUGGUAAAACUUUCAACUCUGAUCUCCUUGACAUGGUGUGA